rnacentral:rRNA from 1 species
CGCGUAGGCGGUUUGGUCAGUUGGAUGUGAAAGCCCAGGGCUUAACCUUGGAACUGCAUUCAAUACUGCCAGGCUAGAGUACGGUAGAGGGGGGUAGAAUUCCACGUGUAGCGGUGAAAUGCGUAGAGAUGUGGAGGAAUACCAGUGGCGAAGGCGGCCCCCUGGAUCGAUACUGACGCUGAGGUGCGAAAGCGUGGGGAGCAAACA